rnacentral:rRNA from 1 species
CCUACGGGAGGCAGCAGUGGGGGAUAUUGCACAAUGGGGGAAACCCUGAUGCAGCGACGCCGCGUGGGUGAAGAAGGGCCUCGGCGCGUAAAGCCCUGUCAGCAGGGAAGAAAAUGACGGUACCUGAAGAAGAAGCCCCGGCUAACUACGUGCCAGCAGCCGCGGUAAUACGUAGGGGGCAAGCGUUAUCCGGAUUUACUGGGUGUAAAGGGGGCGCAGACGGCGAUGCAAGCCAGGAGUGAAAGCCCGGGGCCCAACCCCGGGACUGCUCUUGGAACUGGGUGGCUAGAGUGCAGGAGAGGCAGGCGGAAUUCCUGGUGUAGCGGUGAAAUGCGUAGAUAUCAGGAGGAACACCGGUGGCGAAGGCGGCCUGCUGGACUGCAACUGACGUUGAGGCCCGAAAGCGUGGGGAGCAAACAGGAUUAGAUACCCGAGUAGUC